rnacentral:tRNA from 1 species
GGGCCCGUAGCUCAGCCAGGAAGAGCACCGGAAGGGGUUUAAACCCUAGUGAAGCUUUUAACCUGGCGUAAGGGAGGCCACCCGGGGGUCCCGGGUUCGAAUCCCGGCGGGCCCGCCA